GACGAACGCUGGCGGCGUGCCUAAUACAUGCAAGUAGGACGCAGUUGCGAACGGGUGAGUAACGCGUAGGUACUUGCCUAUUAGAGGGGGAUAACUAUUGGAAACGAUAGCUAAUACCGCAUACUCGUAGAUGGACCUGCGUUUUAUUAGCUAGUAGGUAGGGUAAUGGCCUACCUAGGCGACGAUACAUAGCCGACCUGAGAGGGUGAUCGGCCACACUGGGACUGAGACACGGCCCAGACUCCUACGGGAGGCAGCAGUAGGGAAGCUUCGGCAAUGGGGGGAACCCUGACCGAGCAACGCGGCGUGAGUGAAGAAGGUUUUCGGAUCGUAAAGCUCUGUUGUUAAGGAAGCGGUAAUUAACCAGAAAGGGACGGCUAACUACGUGCCAGCAGCCGCGGUAAUAC
rnacentral:rRNA from 1 species